GCCCCGAGACGAAACGGCACCCAUCCCGCGCUGUCCUCGUUCCGGAGAGGAAGAGCCGCGAGAGCGGUGGGACUGUUGAGGGAGCCUCUGGCGUCACCCUCCCAGCCCUGCUCAGGCGGAGCGCCCAGGCCCUGCUUCCAUCUCCUUCUAGGUCGUCCCGCAGGGCUCAAUCCCAUCUUCUCCGCCUUGCCUGCCACUCCUGUGCUGUCUUGCUCUGGGCUUGUGAUAGUCAACAGAAGCGCAAGUCAAGCUGUGAGGUUUACCCGAGUUUUCUGCGAUUUCGCCUCAAUUUUCCGCUUCAUGGGUGCUUUGGAGACCAGCAGCUCAGUGGGUGGACUUCCUUGUGCACCCAAGGUCUUGGGAGAAAGUUGAGAACCGGCAAGGGCUCAGGAAGCCACACGUGAGACAUCCCUUCAGAGGCCACUGAGGUGCUCUGGUGGGGCUCUGCGUGGGUUCAAGUGUUCAAAAACACACGGCUUUAGAAAUACUCGCGGUUUCAGCCUCGCGCCGGCUCCUCGGGUGCUUCUGAACACACUGGCUUGGGUCACAGGGGCCAGGAAGUGAAAAACUGGGUUAUGUCUAAUUCGAUUCACUCCGGCUUCCUGGAUGAAAGUUAAGUUAAAGUUACAGCGUUGGGCAUUUUAACAGCCAGGCAAGGAGGAAAGAAAGUAAUUCCAGAACUCAGGGCAUGGGCCGGAACCGUGAAUCCAAGUCCCUCGGAGGGACGCUCGAGGCAUAGGUGAUUAACAUCGCGCCAUGGGAGUGGCUGCUGGUCACUUGCUGUCCCCUGGCUGGGAUGGCACAGAUUCCUGUUAUUACACAGACGCUAUUCUCAUUAUUCAGCCUGGACACCAGGUGAUGACCUCUUCAGUUAUGAGAGCAGCUGUGAGGUUAUAAGCACUUCAGCAAGUCCCUGUUUAGGGUACAGACACUUUUAUGGCAAGAUGGAUGUGGCCAUCAAAGCCCAUUUUGUUACCUGCCGGGCAGACAUUGAGCCCAGGCCCCCACACCCAAUGUGCUUGCUGUGACCACGCCACGGGGCGGGCACAAUACCUCUCCCACUGCCUCCCCUAAAAAGCCCCCAAUCUGCCACAGUAUUCUUCCUUCUCCCUCUGCUGUCCAUCGUCUGGCUAUAAAAUCAAAAAGAAGACACCAAGAUCUCAGUCAUUUGGAAGCCACAAAAUGGGAUGACCAUGUUGGCUGUCCUCUGAGAGAGAGAAGUAAUAAAGGGUUAUUGUGUUAAAGCCACUGAGAUCUUAGGAUCUAUUCUAGCAGGCAGCUUCCUCACCCUGCUCGAGAAAUGGUCUUUGCAAUCAGGAUAACGCGGUGCUCACCCAGGGGCACUGUGGGCUGUGGGAGACGCAGUCCACCACCAAGCUUCUCCUUGACGACUUGAUUACUGAAGGAAUUCGGAGGGACAGGUCUGCGGCCACCAUCAGCAGAUGCAAGCAGCAUGACUUCCGGUUUGCAGAGUUGAGCUGCAGUGGGUCCAGCUGGGGUCUCAGUGGCUGAAGUGGAAAUGUGUUAUUUUGUGGACCAGGGGCAGCACUGAGAGCAGGUGGAUUGAAAGACAUUCUGCUGGCCAAGCCUCCUCUGGAAGUGGCUGCACCAAUGCCCGGGUCCCGGGCAAUGUCAGUGUGGCCAACGCAGCCACUGUGCCGCGCUGUCCCCAGGAGUCCACGCAUGGCUACUAGAGAGUGUCCGUGGCACAUGUGACCUGCGUGGUUUCUAGGGAAGCAGUGCUGGACUGGACAGCUGAGAUGCAAUGGUCAUUGAAUCCUCCACAGCUCACCUCUACUUCACUUUCUCCAACCCACAGAUGAGGAAACAGACGGAGAAAGCUGGACCGCAAGGAAAUGGCAGAUCUGAGGGGCCUCCCGGGCUGGCCAGCUUAGAAGCUGUGGUCUUUCUGGCAACAGCUGGCUCUGCAGACAACCUCGCAUUUGAGUCCUGCACUUCAGAUCUGCUUUUGUCUGGACAGAAAGGCAAAGCGGUGGGCAGCUCCGGGCAGCGGGCGCUUCCUUCUCCGGGCCACCGGCUGCCGUGUGCUGAUUCCGACGCAGUUCUGCUCUGAGCGCUGACACUGGCCACAAGGAGAGGCCUAAGAUGCACAAAGGCCUAAGACACAGAGUUCAGACACUUGACCUCAUGCACACCCGCUUGGCAGGGCAGCAGCGCAUUUCCCUAAAGACUGAAUUCCCCUCCCUCCUGCGUAGAAAGGAGCUCGGGUCUUCCCAGCUGCAAGAGGAGGUGCCGAACUUCGCUGCAAUUGCAUUGACCCUCGAUAGAGGGCGCCAAAGGACGGGGAAAGAAGAGGGUCCCUGUCCCCCUGCCGCCCCCCCCCCCCCGGAGAACUCUGCCCAGCAGCUGCUUCACCUGCCCCGGCCUUUUUAAUUACCAGCGAAUGAAGUUUCUUCCCCGGGAAAGAAAUCGACACAGCAACUAUUCGGGCUUUGCCUGUGAUAGGCGCAGUACUACUUUCUGGGGAACCCGGGCACCAAAAUAGGCCUGGCAGCCUGCAGGGGGCAACAGCAAGCUGACCCUCAGCCCGGGACUGGCAGCCCAGGAGCAGGGAGAGGCUGGGGUUCCGAGUCACGGACCGUGCCAGGGCUGAGUGCAGUCUUCAGACAGCUCUCUCCAGCCGCGCUGUGGGCCGGACACAGCGUUCCAGGGACAGUCUCUCUCGGUAAGGGUGACUUCCACACUUCCAGCUUGCAAAGGGCUUAAAUUCGCAAGCUCAGGGCGCACGUUUAGGAAGUGUCACCUUCCUGGCGUGAGGUGGAACCCGGGCAUUUACACGUUAGGCAGCAACUUGUCGGACAAUCGCACUGGCCUUGGCAUCAGAUCUGCAAACCUCUCUCUCACUAAGGGACCAUCGGAAGAAGAGCUGAGCACGAGCGAUGGCCUCAUGACAGGACAUGCGAACGGAGGCCGACACCAGUGUUACAGAUGGAUCUGCGCAGAGAAAACUGCAGCGUAAGCAAACCAUUCACUGUCGUGCUGGGGACACGAGCGGGGUUUGAAGUCCCCACGUUACUGUGUUGUUUGAAAAAUUUUAAAGUAAGCCUUAAUUGGUCUUCUAAUUAGCAAAACAUAAAGUCACUGUCGUUUCCAAUACAAAGCUUUUCAGCUGGGAAAUUUGAAGGUCUUGCUGCAGCCACGGUAAUCUCACCUCCUUAAGUCUGCCUGCUGGAGCUCACAGAGCUUGCUAUUUGGGGACCUCCCAGCCCCAGAGAGCACACAUUUCUCUCUCGGCAGCUCAUUAGAGAUGCUCAGAAAAUCAACUCAAGGACAGCUACAGAAGCCCUUACCAGAAACCCCCUUUGAUCUUUUCAGUAGCAACUGUGUCACGUGUAGCCCAAUGGUCCAGUUCUUCUUUGAGGCUAAAAUAGGGCCACUCCUCCCUCCAGCCACCUGGAGAUCCCGCUAGCGACCAGCCUCGAGUCCGACUGAUGCCUCUGCUCUGCCUCAUCCCGUAUCAUUUCCACUUGCUUGGUAAAUAAUGAGCCUGCUGCCUUUGGCUGUCCAAAGGGUUAUAAAUAUUUGAAGGGCUGCAAGUAUUUGAAACCAGCUCCAUUUGAUUUCGCCUUUGCCUGCAAUGCUCAGGGUGGAAACCUGGCUCCGGGUGAGAGGCACGUUGGCGCCAGGCUGCUGUGUAGGUUCCGGGCAGCCGGAGGGCACACCUGUCCGGCUGGAGCACACACCUGUCGGUCUUUCUCACCACCAAAAGACCCACUUCCUAAAGACAUUUACAAACUUGUAGGAAUUCUUUUUAAAAACAGACUUUAUCUUUUGGGGUAGUUUUGAGAUUGUAGUAAAAUAAAGCAGCAUGCAGAGUCCUUUUCUCUUCUUCCCCCUCUUCCUCUUCCUCUUUCUCCUCCUCCUCUCUCGCUCUCUUUCUCCUCCUCCUUCUUUUUCUCUGGUACUGGAGAUUGAUCACAAGGCUACAUCCCCAACUCAUUUUAUUUAUUUUUAAAAUUUUAA